GCCGAUGUAGCUCAGCUGGUAGAGCAACACAUUCGUAAUGUGUGGGUCGUCAGUUCAAAUCUGAUCAUCGGCUCCA
rnacentral:tRNA from 1 species